CGCCUAGCACAGCUCUGGAGGUGGCGGCUGCAGACUGGGUGGCACGCAAGAAUAAUAAGGCUGUCUGCAAAGAUUUGAAAAAUGGCAACAAAUGAAAGUAUCAGCGUCUUCAGUUCAGCAUCCUUGGCUGUGGAAUAUGUAGAUUCACUUUUGCCUGAGAAUCCUCUGCAGGAACCAUUUUAAAAUGCUUGGAACUAUAUGUUGAAUAAUUAUACAAAGUUCCAGAUUGCAAUGUGGGGAUCUCUCAUAGUUCACGAGGUCCUUUAUUUCUUGUUCUGUUUACCUGGAUCUUUGUUUCAAUUUAUACCUUACAUGAAAAAGUACAAAAUUCAAAAGGAUAAACCAGAAACAUGGGAAAACCAAUGGAAACGUUUUAAAGUGCUUCUCUUUAAUCACUUUUGUAUCCAGCUCCCGUUGACGUGCGGAACUUAUUUUACAGAGUAUUUCAGUAUUCCCUAUGAUUGGGGAACAAUGCCAAGAUGGUACAUGCUUUUGGCAAGAUGUUUUGGCUGUGCAGUGAUCGAGGAUACUUGGCACUACUUCUUGCAUAGGCUUUUACAUAACAAAAGAAUAUAUAAACAUAUUCAUAAAAUUCAUCAUGAGAUUCAGGCUCCAUUUAGAAUGGAAGCUGAAUAUGCACAUCCUCUGGAAACCAUAAUUCUUAGAACUGGAUUUUUCAUUGGAAUCAUACAUUUAUGUGAUCAUGUUAUUCUUCUUUGGGCCUGGGUGACUGUUCGUUUGAUAGAGACUGUUGAUGUCCAUAGUGGUUAUGACAUUCCUCUCAGCCCUUUCAAUCUCAGUCCUUUCUAUGCUGGUUCUCAGCAUCACAAUUUGAACCACAUGAACUUCAUUGGAAACUAUGCUUCAACAUUUACACGGUGGGACAGAAUUUUUGGAACAGACUCUCAAUUUAAUGCCUACAAUGAGAAGAUGAAGAAAGUAAAAGACUGAAUAAGCAUCUCAUAUAAACCUUCCGGAAAAUAUGCAUUUCUUGAAUUGAAGCUAGUAGCUAACAUUGCUUCUGGGGAGC